rnacentral:rRNA from 1 species
UACGUAGGGACCAAGCGUUGUUCGGAUUUACUGGGCGUAAAGGGUGCGUAGGUGGUGAGGUAAGUCUAAUGUGAAAUCUCCGAGCUUAACUCGGAAACUGCAUCGGAUACUAUCUCGCUCGAGGGUUGGAGGGGAGACUGGAAUACUUGGUGUAGCAGUGAAAUGCGUAGAUAUCAAGUGGAACACCAGUGGCGAAGGCGAGUCUCUGGACAACUCCUGACACUGAGGCACGAAAGCUAGGGGAGCAAACAGG